UAGGGAAUCUUCCACAAUGGACGCAAGUCUGAUGGAGCAACGCCGCGUGAGUGAAGAAGGUCUUCGGAUCGUAAAACUCUGUUGUUAGAGAAGAACACGAGUGAGAGUAACUGUUCAUUCGAUGACGGUAUCUAACCAGCAAGUCACGGCUAACUACGUCACA
rnacentral:rRNA from 1 species